GAUGAACGCUGGCGGCGUGCCUAAUACAUGCAAGUCGAGCGAACAGACGAGGAGCUUGCUCCUCUGACGUUAGCGGCGGACGGGUGAGUAACACGUGGAUAACCUACUUAUAAGACUGGGAUAACUUCGGGAAACCGGAGCGAAUACCGGAUAAUAUAUUGAACCGUAUGGUUCAAUAGUGAAAGACGGUUUUGCUGUCACUAAUAGAUGGAUCCGCGCCGCAUUAGCUAGUUGGUAAGGUAACGGCUUACCAAGGCAACGAUGCGUAGCCGACCUGAUAGGGUGAUCGGCCACACUGGAACUGAGACACGGUCCAGACUCCUACGGGAGGCAGCAGUAGGGAAUCUUCCGCAAUGGGCGAAAGCCUGACGCAGCAACGCCGCGUGAGUGAUGAAGGUCUUCGGUUCGUAAAACUCUGUUAUUAGUGAAGAACAACUGUGUAAGUAACUAUGCACGUCUUGACGGUACCUAAUCAGAAAGCCACGGCUAACUACGUG
rnacentral:rRNA from 1 species